GUAAGGAAUAUUGGUCAAUGGGCGCAAGCCUGAACCAGCCAUGCCGCGUGCAGGAAGACGGCCCUAUGGGUUGUAAACUGCUUUUAUCAGGGAAUAAACCCCCGCUCGUGAGCGGGGCUGAAGGUACCUGAAGAAUAAGCAUCGGCUAACUCCGUGCCAGCAGCCGCGGUAAUACGGAGGAUGCAAGCGUUAUCCGGCUUCAUUGGGUUUAAAGGGUGCGCAGGCGGAUUGGUAAGUCAGGGGUGAAAUCCCACAGCUCAACUGUGGAACUGCCUUUGAUACUGUCAGUCUAGAGUAUAGUUGAAGUUGGCGGAAUGUGUCAUGUAGCGGUGAAAUGCUUAGAUAUGACACAGAACACCGAUCGCGAAGGCAGCUAGCUAAGCUAUAACUGACGCUCAUGCACGAAAGCGUGGGGAUCAAACAGGAUUAGAAACCCUAGUAGUCC
rnacentral:rRNA from 1 species